UUCAUCUUUGACUGCUUUUUGUGACACCUUUACUCGCUGGAAUGGAGACUUUGUCCAACAUUGAGCCCAAAUGAACGAUUAAGUGUCGAACUUGUUCCUCAGUGGUUACAGGAAGUAGUAAAAGUUUCUUUAUUUUUUAUUUUUACCAACCUAGGAAACAUAAAACGUAUCAUUUAGAUUGUUUUGCUAAGCGACGUCGCCAUGGCGACAGUAAAGCAGGGCGGCACAUGACCUCGCAAUUACAAACUUUAUCGGGACAUUUUUCUUUUAAUGUGAUCACUUGGACAAGUUCACCAACGUUUUUUUUUUAUCGAAUUUGAUUAAUUUGCAUUCGUUUAGACUGGGCUUGUCUGCCAUUUUGUUCUCUACUGCUCCCAAACUACUAUACAGUACUACAUAUUAUACUUUCUACAAUAUUAUACUAUACUAUGCAAUUCUAAAAUACACUAUAUUAUACUACAAUAUACUAUGCUAUUCUACAAUACACUAUACUAUACUACAAUAUACCAUACUAUGCUAUUCUACAAUACAUUAUACUAUGCAAUUUUACAAUAUUCUAUACUAUGCUGUUUUACAAUAUACUAUACUAUGUUAUACUACAAUAUACUAUGCUAUGUUAUACUACAAUAUACUAUACUAUGUUAUACUACAAUAUACUAUACUAUGUUAUACUACAAUAUACUAUACUAUACCAACGUCAGGGCUCACUCAAAUGUUACUACUAAACUGUAUAAGUUACCCUACUUUGAUUUUAAUCGUAUUCAAUAAUUAUAGUCCUGAAAUCUAUAAAUAAAUACAAUGAAAUAGAAAUAAAUAAUUUAUUAUAUAAAUGUUUCUUAGAUAAACUGUUAAAAAAUAAAUUGCAAAUGAAAAUACAGGUUCACCACUUUAGUCAGCCCUAAUGGUUAAGAAACACUGCACUUUACUUUAGUAUGCUAUACUACAAUAUACUAUGCUAUAAUAUACUAUGCUAUGCUACAACAUACACUACACUACUACUGCCAUAUUAAACUAUACACAAAUGCAAGCAUGUACCAAACAUGGAACCCCACACAGAGAUUUUUGACAGGAUCAUAAUGUGGCUUCAACAUUUGUAUUUGCAAUCACAUCUAGUCCACCUUCUGGUGACCAUGAAGACAAGGCGGGAGGAGGAAGAGUACAUCAACAAUCACAUCUAGUCCACCUUCUGGUGACCAUGAAGACAAGGCGGGAGGAGGAAGAGUACAUCAACAAUCACAUCUAGUCCACCUUCUGGUGAGCAUGAAGACAAGGCGGGAGGAGGAAGAGUACAUCAACAAUCACAUCUAGUCCACCUUCUGGUGAGCAUGAAGACAAGGCGGGAGGAGGAAGAGUACAUCAACAAUCACUUCUGGUGAGCAUGAAGACAAGGCGGGAGGAGGAAGAGUACAUCAACAAUCACAUCUAGUCCACCUUCUGGUGAGCAUGAAGACAAGGCGGGAGGAGGAAGAGUACAUCAACAAUCACUUGUGGUGAGCAUGAAGACAAGGCGGGAGGAGGAAGAGUACAUCAACAAUCACAUCUAGUCCACCUUCUGGUGAGCAUGAAGACAAGGCGGGAGGAGGAAGAGUACAUCAACAAUCACUUGUGGUGAGCAUGAAGACAAGGCGGGAGGAGGAAGAGUACAUCAACAAUCACAUCUAGUCCACCUUCUGGUGAGCAUGAAGACAAGGCGGGAGGAGGAAGAGUACAUCAACAAUCACAUCUAGUCCACCUUCUGGUGAGCAUGAAGACAAGGCGGGAGGAGGAAGAGUACAUCAACAAUCACUUCUGGUGAGCAUGAAGACAAGGCGGGAGGAGGAAGAGUACAUCAACAAUCACAUCUAGUCCACCUUCUGGUGAGCAUGAAGACAAGGCGGGAGGAGGAAGAGUACAUCAACAAUCACUUGUGGUGAGCAUGAAGACAAGGCGGGAGGAGGAAGAGUACAUCAACAAUCACUUGUGGUGAGCAUGAAGACAAGGCGGGAGGAGGAAGAGUACAUCAACAAUCACAUCUAGUCCACCUUCUGGUGAGCAUGAAGACAAGGCGGGAGGAGGAAGAGUACAUCAACAAUCACUUCUGGUGAGCAUGAAGACAAGGCGGGAGGAGGAAGAGUACAUCAACAAUCACAUCUAGUCCACCUUCUGGUGAGCAUGAAGACAAGGCGGGAGGAGGAAGAGUACAUCAACAAUCACAUCUAGUCCACCUUCUGGUGAGCAUGAAGACAAGGCGGGAGGAGGAAGAGUACAUCAACAAUCACUUCUGGUGAGCAUGAAGACAAGGCGGGAGGAGGAAGAGUACAUCAACAAUCACAUCUAGUCCACCUUCUGGUGAGCAUGAAGACAAGGCGGGAGGAGGAAGAGUACAUCAACAAUCACUUCUGGUGAGCAUGAAGACAAGGCGGGAGGAGGAAGAGUACAUCAACAAUCACAUCUAGUCCACCUUCUGGUGAGCAUGAAGACAAGGCGGGAGGAGGAAGAGUACAUCAACAAUCACUUGUGGUGAGCAUGAAGACAAGGCGGGAGGAGGAAGAGUACAUCAACAAUCACUUGUGGUGAGCAUGAAGACAAGGCGGGAGGAGGAAGAGUACAUCAACAAUCACUUGUGGUGAGCAUGAAGACAAGGCGGGAGGAGGAAGAGUACAUCAACAAUCACUUGUGGUGAGCAUGAAGACAAGGCGGGAGGAGGAAGAGUACAUCAACAAUCACUUGUGGUGAGCAUGAAGACAAGGCGGGAGGAGGAAGAGUACAUCAACAAUCACUUGUGGUGAGCAUGAAGACAAGGCGGGAGGAGGAAGAGGACGCCUUGUGCUGCUGCGAGUACAUCAACAGACGUGGCGAGCGCAGCCAUGUGGCCGCCUGCUGCUGCGACUGUGAGGACCUGGACGACAUGUGUGACCGCUUUUUGAAAAGGGAGCCUCAGAAUCCAGAAUCUCUGUCCCAGGUGGCCGCCGUCAUCCACGACCGUCUCCGUCUUCCCUGGCUGUCGGGCGGCGCCCAAAAAGUGGAGCUGUCCAUCAUCCCUCCUCUGCUCAUCCUGCCGGCACUGCUGCACCUGGCUGCCGUCCAUGUCCUUCUGGGCGUGCUGGUUCUGUGGCUUGUGCCCGUCCUGGUGCUGUGGUACUACUACUUCACCCAGCGCAAGAAGGGACGGACGCUGUUCUUCCUCAGCCUGGCUCUUUUCUCCUUGGCCUACAUGUACUACAUGUUCAUCACUGAGGUGCUGCCCCGCGGGGAUGUGGGCCCCUCCCAGGUUGCCCUGGUAACAGCGGGUGUCACGCUCACCCUGCUCGGCCUGGUCCGCACCAAGAGAGACCCGGGCGUCAUGCUCCCGCAGCCUCCUCUCAGUGGCGGGAGGCCGGACGUCAAAGUAGGCGACCAGCUGGGACGCUCGCUAGAGGCGGAGCUUAGCCGGUGUCCGCUAUGUGGGGUGGCGCGGCCCCUGAGGGCGGGACAUUGUCGCAUCUGUGGCGUGUGCGUGCUGCGUCACGACCACCACUGUGUCUGGAUCAAUCACUGCGUGGGCCAGGACAACCACGCCAGCUUCCUGAUGACCCUGCUCAUCUUCCUGUUGACCUCGCUGUACGGCAUCAGCCUGGUGCUGCGGAGCGUGUGUCCCGCACAGAACCUCCUCCUCGCCCUGAUGUACUGCCCUGGCGUCUACCAGCAAUACAGCACCGCCUUGUGCUUCACGUGCGCCUGGUACUGCAGCGUGGUGACCGGCGGCCUGCUGCACCUGCUCCUGAUGCAGCUGCUCAACAUCAGCUACAACGUGACCCAGCGUGAGGCGCGGGCCGCCCUCAGGAACGCUUCCGGCCGCAGGGCCUUGUGGGGCCUCGUCGUGGACACCGGCGUCUACUCGCGUGGUUUCCCAGGCAACUGGGCCGAAUUUGUCAGCAUGGCGGGCCGAAGGACUCCCCGCUCCUCCGGCCGGACCGACGUGGUUUCCAUCCAGGAAGUCUGCGUGGCAUCCAGUGACGCCUGAAUGACAUUUGGCACAAGGCCCCCUGGAUGUCUGGUGCCCAAUUUGGAGAUCCAAAGGAGCUCCGCCCUGUGACGUUGGGCGAGGCUCCAUUUAGGAUCCGUCUCUACGGCAGUCACCCGGACGGAAGACCAUCCGUGCAGGAGGAAAUGCUGAACCAGAUUUUGAAGGGCCUCAACUUCUUCCCGUGUCAAAUUGGGAGCAACCACAGGUGCGCAGCCCGAACCGGACACGGAAAGCCCAUCGGACCGGACCAUAGCCUGGAAUUCCAGAGGCAUAAGUCCAGUGUCCCGGGGAACAAAUGUGACCAAUCGGGGGACUCCUGAGGAAGCAUCUCCCCAGGGAGCGUCUUCCGCAAAAGGUAUGAAGCUGGAGCGGGGAUGAGACGGGGGUGGCGGCGGCGAUAGGAGAGAUGCUUGGGGACAACAUCGGAGCAAGAUCCUGUCCCUGUUCCUGGUCCUGAAGAUCAAUGAGGAGGGGCGAAUGAAGCGUGGGCCCCAUUGGUGAUCCCAGAGGAAGUAGCCUGCGGCGUGCAGGAAUGGGCCGGGUCGGGAGAUCCUCACCGAUGAUGUCUUCGGCGGGUCUGCUGUCCGGAGCUCGGCGCGUGGUCAUCCUCUGCUCCUUGGGAGGUUCCGCCACUGCAGGAGUCGGCGGCCGGCGAGGAAGGAAGAUGGGGGCCAUCCGGAUUGGAGGGAUUGCUGGACGGUCCGCCUCGGGAGACCAAUCUGGGGCGACAGCGUCGGUGCUGGUAGCCACCGAAGCCCGAGUGACUAUCUGAGCUGGAGGGCUUCUAGCCCGUACCCAGUCAGGAGCCCCAACUGGGCCCAUAGGGUCAGUGAGGGUACCCACCGAUACCAGGGUGGUAGUCUGGACCGGUAUAGACCGGGCCGGGUGUACCACCUCCGGUGCCGGGGUGGCAGUCUGGACUGGUAAGGGCUGGGCCGGGCGUGCCCCCCCAGCGUUGACAGAGGGGUCGGCAAAGGCUGCGACAAUGAGGGCCUCGGCCUGCUUGAGGGUGUCCCCCAACAAUCUUUUCCCCAAGUGUUUUUUUGCCCAUGUAACAGCCAGCUCAAAAGCGGGUCUCCAAUUCUCGUGAAUAAAAUUGGUUAUC